rnacentral:rRNA from 1 species
UACGUACCGGACAAACGUUAUUCGGAAUCACUGGGCUUAAAGAGUUCGUAGGCGGCCUUGCAGGUGAGGUGUGAAAUCCCACGGCUCAACCGUGGAAUUGCGCUUCAAACCGCAGGGCUUGAGGGAGACAGGGGUGAGUGGAACUGAUGGUGGAGCGGUGAAAUGCGUUGAUAUCAUCAGGAACACCAGUGGCGAAGGCGACUCACUGGGUCUCUUCUGACGCUGAGGAACGAAAGCUAGGGGAGCAAACGGG